rnacentral:rRNA from 1 species
CCUACGGGGGGCGGCAGUGGGGAAUAUUGGACAAUGGGCGCAAGCCUGAUCCAGCCACGCCGCGUGAGUGAUGAAGGCCUUAGGGUUGUAAAGCUCUUUCACCGGUGAAGAUAAUGACGGUAACCGGAGAAGAAGCCCCGGCUAACUUCGUGCCAGCAGCCCCGGUC